CGGAUGUUUAUGUCAAGCAUCAGCAGGUGAACUGCAUCAUGACAAAGGUUCGUUUCAUGAUCAGACAUUUUCAAGUUUGAGCCACAUAUACAAGUGCAUUAAAUUUGACUAGCCGUUUGUAUGUAGCUAGCUUGGACGAUGUUACUGGUGGUUCUGACUAUCAUGAUGUCGGUAUGAAUUACACGUCGAACUUCAAAAGGAAGCAGGAAUGCUGCAGGCGGUCUAAUCCUGUCAACGCUAGCUAACUAGUUCGGUAACCGACAACGACGUUAUCAUUUUGCAGCUGUCAAUUAUUUUUACAUUUCAGCUUGUCAACUUUGUGUCGAAUGCCACGCCCAGCAGCUGUGGGCACCGUAGACUAGAGCAUGUAAGGACCACCAAAUGAGUGCUGCUGAUUUUAAUGUCGCGAACUUGGCUACCUACCACUGGUAACUAGGUGGAGUCCCUGCGAGAACACGUGUUGAAAGAUGCUGAGCUAAGGCCUCGGAGCAGGGCGGACACCCUCCACUGCAUGUUCUGCAUCUCAUCAGGAGGACUGUUGCUUCCAGAGGCUCGUCACCUAGACGACAGCAACCCAGUCCCCUUCUGUGUGUGCGGCUGUGGACAGGCGGCGGGCGCUCCGAGCAUCAACCCGACAAUGGCUGCAGUGGAGGCACUCAUGCCAUGGACACGGUAAGACGGGGGUAGAAGUGGUGGGAGUGGUCCUCCGGGUCACGCCUCAGCCCAGAGCUGGAUGUUUGUGACAGAUUCAUGGGCCUGAAGGACCAUCCGGAGGAGGAUGGAGCAGGCCGCAUCCUUGACCUGGGGCUGGUUUUAGAGUACCUCCACAUCGAAGGCUCCGUCAGCAGGCAGGCUGGCGCCGAUACAGGGCCCAGUAUGGA